GAUGAACAACGCAGCGAAAUGCGAUAAGUAAUGCGAAUUGCAGAAUUCCAGUGAGUCAUCGAAUCUUUGAACGCACAUUGCGCCCUUUGGUAUUCCGAAGGGCAUGCCUGUUCGAGCGUCAUUAUCACCCCUCAAGCCCUCGGCUUGGUGUUGGACGGUUUGGUGGAGGCCCCCUCGGGGGUUCCUGCCCCUCCCAAAGACAAUGACGGCGGCCUCGUUGGACCCCCGGUACACUGAGUUCUUCACGGGACACGUAUCGGACACAUGGGUUUACGGGACACGGUCUGCCUCCCCUCAGGGAGAAUCUUUCUAAGGUUGACCUCGGAUCAGGUAGGGAUACCCGCUGAACUUAAGCAUAUCAAUAAGCGGAGGA
rnacentral:misc_RNA from 1 species